CCUGGUGGCUCAGAGGGUAAAGCGUCUGCCUGCAAUGCAGGAGGCCUGGGUUCGAUCCCUGAGUCAGGA
rnacentral:tRNA from 1 species